AAAACUUCAAACCCUCAUAACUCUCUCAUCUCUCAACCAAUUUGGGCGAUCCAAAAGGCAAAGUUGUGAGAUUUUUCGAGGACAACGUGUUGGUGAGCUCGGAUAGUGAUUUGGAGUCCCCGUUUGAGCGGGGCAGCGUUUCGAGACCGUUCGGAAAGGGAAAGCUCCGAAGGUGUGAUUUUGGAGCGCAUGUGAUCGGUCUACAAGUCCGGGCACUAGUAGCCAGCGUUGAUCGAGCUUGGAGCAGACUGAUCCGGAGACGGGAGUGAGCACAGGGCGUUUUGUACUAUUUCAGUCUCCAUCUGUAUAUAUAGACUUGUCUUUUACCUUUCGAGACAGUCCAGUCUCUGUUGUCCACUUUUGGGACUUGUACUCAU